CUUCAGCUUCUCGGAUCAAGGUGGGACAUGUAAAGCUUAUGACUUCAAUUAUGUCUUGAGCGGUCCACAUCUUUUCCCGCUUCUGCACUUUGGAUUUACUUCUUCUUCUUUUCUUCUUUUCUCUUAUUCUGGAUAAAGACUUCUUCUUUUGGUUGUCUCAAACCCACUGUAUCGAGGUAUAACCUGCUCAGACACCAAGACAAAUAAACGAAUGGAAUUUUUCUAUCCCAAUUUUUACUAGAAAAAUUUCGUGGGUUAUUGGUAAUAAAAUUAUAAACUACUUUUUUAUUGAAAGCAAUAAAAGUCAUGAUUGUGUAUCCUUGAGAAAAAGAGAUUACAGAGUAGAGACCUUAUAUCUAAAUGAAAUCAACAAGGGAUUAGAGACCCUAGGUUUGAAAAAUCACAAGGUUAUGCUGGCAUCAACUCAGGGAUUUGGAGACCCUAGGAUGGAAAAAUUACCAGGUUAUACAGUCAUUAACGAGGGAGUCAGACCCUAUGUAGGAAAAUCAUCAGCUAGGAAAUGAUGACCACAUGUUGGAAAAUAUAGCUAGGGGUUGGUGUACCCUAUAUGGUAAUGAAAAGUAACUAGGGGUUGGGGACAUGUAUUACUGAAAAAGGGUUGAAUCUCGCUGGGUGAAAAAGUUCUACUGGGUUAAACUACAAAAAGCAAGCCUGGGCGAAGAGUACUUCUAUCCGAAAAAUAUGAGCUGGAUCCCCGUAGGUAGAAAAGUUGUACCUAGGUUAAGCUACAAAAACUAAGCAUGGGCGAAUAGUACUUCUACACGGAAAUAGGAGCUAGAUCCCUCUAGGCGAAAAGGUUCUAACCGAGUUAAGCUAUGUAAAAAUAACUUGAGCGAAGAGUACUUCUGCUGGAAAUAUGAGCUAGAUCCCUAUAGGUGAAACGGUUCUACCUGAGUUAAGCUAUGUAAGACUAAGCUUGGGCGAAGAGUACUUCUACCUGAAAAAUAGGAGCUUGAUCCCCCUAGGUGAAAAGGUUCUACCUGGUUUAAGCUUAUGAAAACUAAGCUUGGGCUAAAAGUAUUUCUACCUGGAAAUAUGAGUUGGAUCUCCCUAGGCGAAAGGGUUUUACCUAAGUUAAGCUGCGUAAAAACAACUUGAGCAAAGAGUACUUCUACCCGGAAGUAUGUGAUGAAUCCCCCUAGGCGAAACGGUUCUACCUGAGUUAAGCUACGUAAUACAACAUGGGCAAAGAGUAGUACUACCCGGAACUAUAAGAUGGAUAUCUCGAGGUGACAAGGUUCUACCCGAGGUAAGCUAUGUAAAAUAACUUGAGUGAAGAGUACUUCUACCCAAAAAUAGGAGCUGGAUCCCCCUAGGCAAAAUGGUUAUACCUGGGUUAAGCUACAUAAAACACCAUAAGCGAAGAGUACUUUUACCCGUAACCAUGAGCUACAUCCUCAUAGGCAAAAAUGUUCUACCCGGGUUAAGCUAUUUAAAACAACCUGAGUGAAGAGUACUUCUACCCGGAAAUAGGAGAUGGAUCCCCUUCGGCGAAGAGGUUCUACCUGGGUUAAGCUACGAAUACUAAACAUGGGUGAAAAAUACUUCUACCCAGAACUAUGAGCUGGAUCCCCCUGGGUGAAAUAGUUCUACCCGAGUUAGCUACGUAAAACACCCUGAUAGAAGAGUACUUAUACCCGAAACUAUGAGCUAGAUCUCUUGAGGCAAAAAGGUUCUACCCAAGGUAAGCUAUGUAAAACAACCUGAGCAAGGGUGCUUCUACUCGGAACUUUGAGCUGGAUCCCCCUAGGAGAAAAGGUUUUACCUGGGUUAAACUACGUAAAACACCCCGAGCGAGGAAUCCAAAAGGUUUUACUUGGGUUAAGCUACGUAAAACACCCUGAGCGAGGAAUAUUUCUACCAUGAACUAUAAGCAAGAUCUCUCGAGGCGAAAAGGUUCUACUCGAGGUAAGAUAUAUAAAACAACCUAAGCGAAGAGUACUUCUAUCCGGAACUAUGAGCUGGAUCCCCCUAGGAGAAAAGGUUCUACCUUGGUUAAUCUAUAAAAAUUAUACCUGCACGAAAAGUACUUCUACUCGGAAAUAUGAGCUGGAUCUCAUAUGCUGCGUAAAAAUAACUUGAGGGAAGACUAAUUCUAAUCAGAAUUAAGAGCUAGAUCCCCCUAGGCGAAAAUUUUCUGCUUGAGUUAAGGUUUGUAAAACAACCAAAGUCAAGAGUACUUCUACUCAGAACUAAGAGCUAGAUCUCCCUAGGAGAGAAGGUUCUACUCGGGUUAAACAAUGUAAAACAACCUGAGUGAAGGGUAUUUCUACCCGAAAAUAGGAGCUGAAUUCCCCUAGGCAAAGAGGUUCUACCUAGGUUAAGCUACAAAAACUAAACAUGGGCGAAAAGUACUUCUACCCAGAACUAUGAGCUGGAUCCCCCUAGGCGAAAAGAUUUUACCUAGGUUAAGCUACAUAAAACACCCCGAGCAAAGAGUACUUCUACUCGGAACUAUGAGCUGGAUCCCCUAGGUCAAAAUGGUUCUACCGGAGUUAAGAUACAUAAAAUAAGAGGUAUGAAUAGUAAUGAUGCAUGCAGAAAAUAAAAGAAAAAUAAAGAUUUUGAGGAACUUACCUUUGGUGAAAUGCGUUCAUUCAGAAUCGCUUUUUUGCACUGCUUUGUUCCUACUUCAAACAAAGAAAAAGUUGUGAGUUUUCAAAGUGUUGCUUGGUUUGUGGACUUGAUGCCCGGAGUAGUUUGAUUCACGGCCACUGCUGUCGAAGAAAUAAUUCUGUCAGCAUGGCAGCGAGACGUGUGGCUACUCUGUAUUAUUUUCUGGAGACCUUGGCUUUCAAAUGUUGCCCCAUCUAUUUCAUACCCAGAUGUCCACGGUACAGCUACCCUUGUCUCUAAGGCAACACAAUUUUUCUUUAAAAGAGUUGACUUGCACUCAGUAUCAGUUUGUGUCCGUAGUGCUUAUCAACUUUUCUUAUGAAGCAUGUCUUACUUAUGCGGCUUUUCAGUUUCUUUGAAACACUUUGUUCGCCUUAUUGAAUGAGAUCUCAGAUGGAUUCGUGCCUUCAUCAAUGCUAUAUAUGCACUAAAUUGUGCUCGAUGUUACGGGGAAACUGUAGCCAGUUUUGCAGCUAUUUCUUUGCUUCGAUUUGAUGUAGAGAUUAGACUGAAGGGGACUCAAAGAAAGAUUAUGGGUAAAAAUAAAAUAAUAAUUGGAAGUGAAAAAGAACUGUUCUUAAACAAAAGGUGUCCCUUACGGAGAAAGGAAUAGGGAUACUUAUUUGGAGGUAUGUGCCGACUUUAAAUGAGCCAUUACAUGCAUUUUGGACUAGACGCUUGAUCCGUCUGAGCUAUCUAAUUUUCAAAAUAUGCACAAAUGUUCAUCUUGAAAUUGUCUUGGUUGUGCUCAUGCCGGAGAAUCGAAGACCCUCGUUCGACUAGUAGCGCCCUUUGUAGAUUUUCGUUAACUAACCUCUCUCAUUUGUCUACUAACCAUCACCUUAUGUGCCCAUCCGGUUUUUCACCAAUAAGAUUCUUUCAUUUCUCUGCUCACUGUCACCUUAUAGCUCACAUACGAGUUUUCACUGAUAAGACUCUCUCAUUUCUUUUUUAUUUACUAAGAUACUGCAUGCAGGAGGUUUCCCAAUGCCCUUGGUAUGAGGACUUCAAACAUUCUAAAAUAAUUAAUCAGAAGUUCUUAAAAGGUAAAAAGGCGAAAUGAACCUUGAACUGAAUUAUAACUUUUGGAACUAUUUUUUCAGAAAAAUCGUAAAAUAAAACAAACUUCUGCCCUAGUUUUGGAGUAUUGGGAAUAUGGAGUUUUCUUGUGAAGUGACCAAACCCAGGGUAAGGCUGCCUACGUAUCCUUUGGGAAUCAGGUCAGACGUAGUUCAAUGACUUUGAAGAUUCAUUGUUUGACUAUUUUUCUUUCUUUCUUCUUUAACAAGUACACAGGUUCUAGAAGGUGCAAAACAAAGAAGACAAAUACAACUCAAAGGGGUUAACAAAAGAGUGACACAUAUUUGGAAUAACGAGCAAAUGAUAGUCUUUUUCAUCUCGAUCUGAGAAAAUCAAUGCGUGAAAGUUCUACAAUAGCCAUAUAUUAGACAUAAUAUCUUUUGACUGCAUCUGCAUUAAUAGUCAUAUCUGGUACCCGUCCUUCUUCAUCUACCAAGUGCAAGGCCCCUUUUUGUAACACUUUCUUGAUGAUGUAGGUUCCUUGCUAGUUCAGUCCAAACUUUCCUUUAGCUUCAACCUGGUACGGAAGGAUGCGUUUCAAACCUAGCUGACCUACCUGAAUCCGCCUUGGGCGCACUUUCUUACUGUUAACGCGUGCCAUUCUUUGCUGGUAUAACUGGCCAAAACACACUGCUGCUAGCUGUUUUUCAUCGAUCAACAUCAGUUAUUCUAAUCGGGUCUUGAACCACUCAAAGUCUUCAAUCUUUGAUUCCACAAUAAUUCAGAGAGAGGGAAUUUCGACUCCAGCUGGUAUUACAGCUUCAGUUUCAUAUACAAGUAGAUAUGGAGUUGCAACAACAGAUGUUUGAACGAUCGUACGGUAUCCCAAAAGAGCAAAAGGCAACUUUUCAUGCCAUUUCCUGGAACCUUGGAUCAUAUUCCUAAGAAUCUUCUUGAUGUUCUUGUUUGCCUCUUUAACAUCUCCAUUGACUUUUUGCUGGAAAGGGGUAGAAUGGUGAUGCAUGAUUUUAAAUUGUUCACAUACCUCCUUUAUCAAAUGACUAUGUAGAUUGGCUGCAUUGGCCGUGAUAAUAGUCUUUGGGAUACCAAAGCGACCGAUGAUGUUGGAAUGAACAAAGUCUAGCACUACUAUCUUGGUGACUACUUUGAAAGUGACGGCCUCCACCCACUUGGUCAAGUAAUCAAUUGCAACAAAAAUGAAUCUACGCACAUUUGAAGCUUUUGGCUCGAUUGGUCCAAUACCAUCCAUUCCCCAAGCAACGAAAGGCCAAGGAGAGGACAUGGGAUGCAUCUCUAAAUGAGGCGAAUGGAUCAGGUCACCAUGAAUCCGGCAUUGGUUACACUUGCGAACAAAAUUAAAUCAAUCUCGCUCCACAGUAAGGCAAUAAUACCCUGCCCGCAGGAUUUUCUUCGCCAAAACAUAUCCAUUCAUGUGAGGUCCACAUACCCCUGAAUGCACCUCACUCAUGAUCCACUCUUAUUUUGUGUCAUCUAUGCAGCUCAGCAAGUUUAAAUCUAGGGUUCUCUUGUACAGAAUUUCCCCAUUCAAGAAGAAACCACUAGCGAUCCGCCUUAUAGUUAUUUUUUUAUCUUCUUUGGCAUGCUCUGGAUAUUCUCUUGUUUUUCAGGAAUCAUUUUAUGUCAUGAUACUAUGGUUCACUAUCUAGUUAUGUCUCAAUUAUAUUGCAGUAACCGUGUUGAUUCUGAACUUGGAUUUCUAGUAGAUUAAUAUGAGUGUUGCCUUGAUAAGGUAGCAUUGAGGCUAAAGUAGCCAAGCCAUUGUCUAGCUCGUUGUGAAACCUGGGAAAGUACCUGAACUCGAUAGAUUUGAAUCUUUUGCUCAAUUCUUGCACACACUGUCUAUAUGGAAUACGCUUGAUGUCUAGAGUCUCCCAUUUGUCCUGGGCUUGCCGAAUAAGCAAGUCGGAAUCUCCCAUAGCCAAUAGUUCAUGCACAUCCAUAUCGAUGGCCAUUUUCCAACCCAUGAUACAAGCUUUGUAUUCUGCCGUAUUAUAGAAGAACUGAAGUCGGGUUGUUACAGGGUAAUGAUGCCUAAUAGGUGAGAUGAGGAUUGCCUCGAUCCCAACUCCUUUGAUAUUGACGUAAAUGGUUAUAGUCUGGAACUACUUCCUCUAUUGAGUUGACCUCUUCGUCUGGGAAGUAUCAUACCUCUUUUUUACUACACCCCUGUACAAUAAAUAUGAGGGAGUUUUUUCAAACUUAAAGUAACAAUCGAAACUGGAUCAUUUUAUUAAAAAUUUAGAAUUUCCACUUUGGAUAAUUUUAUGGUGUCCCAAGUCACCGGUUCGUAUCCCAAAUCGAGGAAAGAUUGACAGUGUUCACAAUUCGCGAAUACAGAAAACCGGGUAAGGAAUUUUAUUAACUCGGGAGAAGGUGUUAGGCAUUCCCGAGUUUUGUGGUUCUAGCACGAUCACUCAACUGUUAUAAUUAGCCUUUUACCUGAUUUUAGUACAAGUUUUAGCCUAUGGUAUAUUUCAACUUUAUAAAUGCCUUUAUUAUUUUUAGGGAAGAUUCAACGUCAUAUAAAACACGUCUUGAACCACAUCACAUAAAUGCACCCGCGGUCCGCAACACAUUUUAUCUAACGUUGUUGAAAUUUGGAUUUGGGUCACAUAAAUGCACACCCGAGUUUAGGAAGGUAAAUUAUUAUAGUAACAUGCCUAAAGAGACUAUGCAUUCGCAACUUUGUGAGGGGCAUGGAAAAUUCAACUAAAUGGCACGCCUCGAAUUCUAAGGAUUAAGGUAUUAACUAAACGAGGGCCAUGCAUUUCAAGAUUUUUGUUUGGCGCGGCACACCUCAACUCCAAUUUUAAAGGAGAUUCAAAACUAAACUUUCGAGGGUCAUAAAUUAUACAUUUGGCUAAUAUGGCACACUCUCAGCUAGUUAAUUAUGCCAAUUAGGAAGCGACAAAGUUCUAGCUUAAUCUAGUUAUGUAAUCAAUCUUUUCUUGAAAUUGAAUUCAGGUCCUAGUCACAAUCAUACAACGAAGCAGUUGAGGAAUUGAUCACCCAAGUCAAAAACAAAUUAAAUAAUAGCUAAACUGGAUGCACGAAUAGUGCAUAGUAUUGGGCUCAAAAGCAAGACCGUCUCUCAAACGAGGAUCAGUCACACGCUAAUGAGAAGGGAAGCUUGUCCCUUUGGGCUUGACAUUGAGCCCCAAACAUGGAAAACCAUACAAAAGCGACUUAAUUUUAGAUCAUACUAAUUAACUAAGGGACAUCAAUUGAAUAGAUAAUCCACACACAAAUGUGACAUUAAGGCUGUAAUGAAAUUGAUUCAACAAAAGACUUCAUACAAGGUUCAUUUUAAAUUAAACUUACUUGUAUGAUAUUGAAAUUCAAGCCAAAAAAUGAUUCAACAAAGGUAUUCUAUUUGAAAUAAAAAAACUCGAACAUCAAAUUGAUUAAACAAAAGCCAACACCUCCGUUACUCAUGAUUCCCCUAUUAUACCAACUUCCACAUGAAUUCGGUGUUGUUCUACCAAAACCUUGGUCCAUUUGAAGAAGCAACUAAUGGUAAAUGCAGUGAACAAAUCUAAACCUAUAAGAUAACCAUUGAACUAGUUUAAAUUACUCUAAUCUCAUACAAAACUUGAUUAUAACCCUUCAUGAAAACUACCAGGCUAUUCUUACACAAAUCCAGAUAUUACCAACACUCUCUAUAAACUUCCAUACAUACUUGGCAAUCAACAUAUGAACCACAAACAUGUAUAUUACACUCUUCAACAUUCAAAGCAAAUAUAGAAGGAGAAAUCAAAAAACAAAAGUAAGUAGCUUCAACAGAAUAAGAAAGUCAGGCUUCGAGUUCAAAACGUCCUUUAUUGAUUUCAAGUUGAAACGAACACCUUUCACACACUUAAACACAGUUUGUCAAUUUAGGUUUGAAGGGGUACCUGGAAAUGAAAGGAAACAAGAAGUGAGGGAUCAGCAGUAGCAAUAGCAGAAGUUAGCCCCAGAUUCAAUCAAUCAGAUAGUGCAAUUAACCUAGGAAGACCAAUGGAGCAUUAACCCAAACAUCACACUUAAACCAACACUUUUAUAAACACAAAUUCAAUCCAUUUUAACCCCAGAUAAAUCAUAAAUUGCUUCAAAAAUUGAAAACCUCAAGAAUCACAGAAGAAAUACAAUGGAGUAGUGAUUUAAUGAAAUUUUUCAGUUGUUUUUGAUUUUUUCUGAAUUUU
rnacentral:lncRNA from 1 species